UUUUAAGUAACUAUAUUUAACAAUUUAUAAGAAUGUAUUUAAUGAUUUGAUGUAACAAAAAACAAAAAAUAAAAAUUUUAAAUUAUUUAAACUAUUUCAAGUGUUAUCGGGGAAAAAACAUUAAAUUUUAGCAAUCCUCGAACCAAACCAAAUCACGGUUUAUUCAGCCAUAAUGGGCUAUGCAGUCACAAGCUCACAGCGUUUUGGGUUGAAGCAUGAGUAAAGAAUUUUGGGCCUGGCCUGCUUAAAAUUUUAUUUUACUUUUUAAAAAUUAAACCAUAUUUGUUUUAUAAUAUUAAAAUUUUGGAUUUAUGGAUGUAAGUUUGAACGAUAUAUACAAGUCUCGAAGUCCAAAUAAGCUCUAAUCCGUGGA
rnacentral:lncRNA from 1 species